rnacentral:tRNA from 1 species
UGGAAUGUCGCCAAGAGGUUAAGGCACUGGUUUUUGAUAUCAGCAUUCGAAGGUUCAAAUCCUUCCAUUCCAG